CAAGUAUAAGUGAAAACGUGGGCUUAAGUGAAAGUAAAAACGUGGUUUAACUUUCUACACAAAUGGAAGUGAAAAUGUGGUCUCCUAAUUGUCCACACAAAUCAUCCAAACUCUCCUAUAAAUAGCAACCAUCUCCUCACUAAUUCUACACACCAGCUCUGCUCUUCCUCUCUGCAUACAAUUGAAGUGUCCUAGAUGAAGGUGAUUGCUGGAGUUAUUUUGGAAAGCUUCGAGGUAAGGGAAUCGCUAAUAAUAAGUUUCGAUGAGCACAAGAAAUGUGUUACUUGUAUAUAUAUUAUUAGUUAUAAUUAGGGGUGUUGUGUACUUUAUAUAGUAAUUUAUAUUCAUUAAAGUAUAUGCAAAAUGAUGAGUGAUUUGAUUUGGUUUGAGUUUAUGUGAAUAAAUCUUCUGCAAUGAUAUGAUUUGAAAA